AUCAUGGUCCCCUAAUUAUUUAUGGAAUAAGAGAGAGGGUUGGUAUGACAGAUUCCUCUUUUUUUUUAAUUGUUGUUUUGUUUUAGGAAGAAAUGAAAGAGACCAUUUGGGUUCCAUGCUGGAUGAGACUUCAAACAAUCAGCAAUGCCCUCUAAGGUACUGCUUGGUUUUGUCAUUUCCUUCUCGACUGGACAAGAAACUGGGAAUUCAUCGUAUCCAUGACAUCAGCCUUUCCUGUGUGGACAUAGUAAGAGGUCACCAGUCUGUAAGUCAGGAAGACAGUUCUCUCCAGGAACUGGGUAUGCAAGCACCUUUGAGACAGACCAGGAUGUGGGACCUGGGACUCUUUGCUGCAGUGGCUGCAGUGCUUGCACCUGGACAAACAUCUCCUGGUGCAACAAAAUACAAGAAACCAGAGGGACUAAAAAUAACUGCGUACAUGCACAGUUGGGACAAAUUAUGGGCAAGAUGAUAUAAAAAACCUAAAAACCCAACUGCCACUUCUGAAGAGAAGAGAGCAUUUCCCCUGCACACACCAACAUCAAAGAGGUGGGCAGACGAUUUAAGCCAUCUCUCUGGCCUCAUCCCUGGACCUGCUCCUACCCUCACCCCACAUAAGGUACAAGCUUGUCACUGCCUACCCACAGUAAGAAAGAAAGCAAGGGAAACUUGUUGCUUGUUUUCACUCCCUGCUGCCACAGCAGGGGCCCCAUAAAGCCUUACAUGAAUUUUUCUGUUUAGCCUCUUCUCAAUUUCCAUUGAUUAAGAAGGUCAACACCUGCCGUGAUAACACCUUCAUCUUGGACUUCCCAGAAUCCAGAACUGUGCGCAGUGAAUGUCUCUUGUUUAAGCCACCCAGUGUAAGGUAUUUUUGUUACCCCUACCUGUCCAUGAGAGCUAAAGGAUCCUCACAUUGAUUUAUCUGGGUUCAUUUCAAAGCACCUGGUAUUUGUCAAAAGAUGUUUUACAGCUGUGCUUCGAGAUAUGCAGUGGUCAACGGCUCUGAGCUUGUUCUGACUUACCUGUGCAGGUGAGACCUUGAGGUUUCCUAAAGUUAUCUUUGCUUUAUUACCAUGCUAAAGUUCCACCCAGGGAGCAGACUUGCACUCUGCUAAGAACAACUUGAGCUUUGUGCAAAAACGAAGUAUGGCAGAUAGCACAUGCCCUGGUUCCCCCAGAAAUCUCUGGCCCUUUCCUAGAGCUCAGAUGAUGCACCUGUUUUCUAUCUCUUAAAUAUUCCUUUACUCCGCUUCUUUUGGGGAGGAGAUGUUUUUAGAGCAGGAACUCUCCCUUCUCCAUCCCCUCAUCAAUGUAUGAAGUUUCUGCUCUGCUACAUAGAAUCUGGUUUCGUUUGAUUGGCAUCUGGGACUCUGGGCAAAGGACCCAAUGAGAAGGGUCACUGGCCAUUGCAGAUCAGUGACAUUUUGUUAUAGCAGCUCAAGCUGAGAUGUGUAUUUUCAUGUAAAACAUCAUAGGUCUGUCAAUAGAUAUCAUUAUGCCCAUUUUAUGAACGAAGAGACUUAUCAGGCUCAGGAGGAUUAAGUAAAUAGCUCUAGUUAAAGAAUAGUUACAUAUCUGAGAGUCAAAGGCAGACACAUGUUCAGUUUAGCCCAGGGCUUCUUUCCCAAGGACAUGAGUCUGGUUGCUUUAACCAGGUGAAUAUCAUGAUUUUAUUUCGGACUCUUCAUUAGUUAGACACAGCACAAAUUGAGUAAUUGUUAACCUCUCAAGCACACUUUGCUAAUUUGUAAAUAGGUUGGAAAGCAGUGACUUACAUAAGCCAGCAUACUGAUCUGAACAUGAAGAUGUUAAAAGAAAAAGAAAAAAAAAAAAACAUCAAAUUCAUACGAUGUGGGCAAGGGAAGAAAAAUUAGAUUCUUUUUCAUUUUUUUAAGGUUGUGUUUGAGCCUAUAUGAUUAUCAGGCUAAAGCAAGCAGAUAUAGGAAGGGGUUAACAUACUUAAAAAACAGGGCAACCACAAAUCAAAACCAGACAUUACAUUCACAAAAACUAAAAAGUAAAGUAUUCAAACAUAAAAUAAAUGGAAAUCAUCCAACCA
ensembl:lncRNA